rnacentral:rRNA from 1 species
UACGUAGGCAGCAAGCGUUGUUCGGAGUUACUGGGCGUAUAGAGUGCGUAGGCGGUGGCCUAAGUUUGGUGUGAAAUCUCCCGGCUCAACUGGGAGGGUGCGCCGAAAACUGUGUUGCUGGAGUGUGGGAAAGGCAGGCGGAAUUCCUGGUGUAGCGGUGAAAUGCGUAGAUAUCAGGAGGAACACCGGCGGUGUAGGCGGCUUGCUAGACCAUAACUGACGCUGAGGCACGAAAGCGUGGGGAU